UCUAAUAGAUCGGUUAAGACCAGCAAUAUAAGUCUCAUAUCGCCUAACGUUUGUAAAUUUUACCAACCGUCCCUAGAGCAAGUGGCAAAGGACUUGGUGGUUGGUCUUCGAGACCCAAGUUUAAAUCUUAGUUGAUUCACAUUUCCAGCUAAGUUUAUUUUUAAAUAAAAUAAACGAAGCGGGUAGCGUGCUAUUUAUCUCUCAAAAAAAUAAAAUAAAAUAAAAUAACGCUCGUAAAUUUUGCUUGACGAAGACGUCAAGGCUUAAA
rnacentral:lncRNA from 1 species